AGUGAACGCUGGCGGUAGGCCUAACACAUGCAAGUCGAACGGCAGCACAGUAAGAGCUUGCUCUUACGGGUGGCGAGUGGCGGACGGGUGAGGAAUACAUCGGAAUCUACUUUUUCGUGGGGGAUAACGUAGGGAAACUUACGCUAAUACCGCAUACGACCUACGGGUGAAAGCAGGGGAUCUUCGGACCUUGCGCGAUUGAAUGAGCCGAUGUCGGAUUAGCUAGUUGGCGGGGUAAAGGCCCACCAAGGCGACGAUCCGUAGCUGGUCUGAGAGGAUGAUCAGCCACACUGGACCUGAGACACGGUCCAGACUCCUACGGGAGGCAGCAGUGGGGAAUAUUGGACAAUGGGCGCAAGCCUGCUCCAGCCAUACCGCGUGGGUGAAGAAGGCCUUCGGGUUGUAAAGCCAUUUUGUUGGGAAAGAAAAGCAGCAGGUUAAUACCCCGCUGUUCUGACGGUACCCAAAGAAUAAGCACCGGCUAACUUCGUG
rnacentral:rRNA from 1 species